UACGAACCGUGCGAACGUUGUUCGGAAUCACUGGGCUUAAAGGGCGCGUAGGCGGCUCGACAAGUCGGGGGUGAAAUCUUUCGGCUCAACCGGAAAAGGGCCUCCGAUACUGUCGAGCUCGAGGGAGGUAGGGGCGGACGGAACUUCCGGUGGAGCGGUGAAAUGCGUUGAUAUCGGAAGGAACGCCGGUGGCGAAAGCGGUCCGCUGGCCCUCUACUGACGCUGAGGCGCGAAAGCCAGGGGAGCAAACGGG
rnacentral:rRNA from 1 species